GAUCAUGGCUCAGGAUAAACGCUGGCGGCGUGCAUAACACAUUCAAGUCGAACGGAGUUGCCAAGUAGCAAUAUGAAGCAACUUAGUGGCGGACGGGUGAGUAACGCAUGAGCAACCUGCCCUUGUGAGCGGAAUAACGUCGGGAAACCGACGCUAAUACGGCAUAACGCACAGAUACCGCAUGGUGACUGUGUCAAAGAUUUUUAUCGCACAAGGAUGGGCUCGUGUCCGAUUAGUCAGUUGGUGAGGUAACGGCUCACCAAAACCGCGAUCGGUAGCCGGACUGAGAGGUUGAACGGCCACAUUGGAACUGAGAAACGGUCCAGACUCCUACGGGAGGCAGCAGUGGGGAAUAUUGGGCAAUGGGCGAAAGCCUGAACCCCAGCGACGCCGCGUGAGGGAAGAAGGUCUUCGGAUUGUAAACCUCUGUUGACAGGGACGAAAGCGGGGCAACCCGCGUGACGGUACUUGUCGAGGAAGCCACGACUAACUACGUGCCAGCCGCCGC
rnacentral:rRNA from 1 species